rnacentral:lncRNA from 1 species
AUCAUUUCAUACACCUCCUCACUUGAUCUGCGCCUCCUCUUAUUUGAUAUGGCCCUUUAGAUGAUGCCCUUUCAUGAGAGGAUGUGUGGAUGGGAUGCAUCCCUUGGAGAUGCAUCCCCACGCCUAUUAUAAAUAGGUUAGCGCUCCAUGGGUUUCAUCAUCCCAAUCCACCGUAUUUCUCUCUUCCUUUCUUUCUUACAUUGGUUCCCUUCUUUCUUACAUUGCUACUAGUGUGUCCUAAGCCAAGACAAGAUGCUCUUCUUUAGGACAAGAGGAUUGGAAGCAAAUUUAGAAAGAAGAAGAAAAUUAGAAAGGAAGGAAAGCAAGCCAUUAGAGUUCUUUAGAAGAAUUCUGCAUUAAGGAUCAAAGUCUUUGGAGCUAAAGUCUUGAAUCAAGUUUUCAUGUGGAUCACCAUUGGAGGGCGGACACUUGGACGCCUCGUGGAGAUCAUUCAUAUUGAAUUAGCGUUAGAGGUAUUAUUCUAUUCCUACAUUUAUAUUUAUUUAUUAUUUGAUUGUUACCAUUAAGCUGAUCUAGGCUUAAAAGGGUUUCAUGUUAAGGGAUUUUAUUAAGAAAUUUUUAAAAUUCCUAGCUGCAGCUGCCCAUUAUGACAUGAUAAAACCUUUCAGAUUUAUGAAAAUAUACACACUUUUCUUAGUGUAUUCCAAGGACAAUUGCAAUCAAGGUACACCGUUUCGGUACCAGGCUCUAUACUGGUGCCAAACUAUCACUAUAUCGGUACAGUACGGUAUGGGGCCGGUUCGGCAUACCGAAUGUCGAUAUGCCUCCUAUACCAUGUAUCGAUAUCGAACCGAUAUGGUAUGCUACGUCCCAUACUAUCCGGUUCGGUACAGUACGAUAAACUUUAAUUGAGUCCAUAAAAAAACUAGAACUAGAUUUGAUAAAACAAAUAAAGCUAGUCCAUAGAUGUAAAGUCAAAUAGAUGGACUUAUUCCAACAAGAUUUAAUUGAAAAUAUACCCUAGUUAUCAAGAAA